CCUACGGGGGGCAGCAGUGAGGAAUCUUGGUCAAUGGACGCAAGUCUGAACCAGCCAUGCCGCGUGCAGGAAGACGGCUCUAUGAGUUGUCAACUGCUUUUGUACGAGGGUAAACGCAGAUACGUUUAUCUGUCUGAAAGUAUCGUACGAAUAACGAUCGGCUAACUCCGUGCCAGCAGCCGCGGUAACACGGAGGAUUCAAGCUUUAUCCGGAUUUAUUUGGGUUAAAGGGUGCGUAGGCGGUAGGUGAAGUUAGAGGUGAAAUCCCGAGGCUCAACUUCGGAAUUGCCGCUGAUACUGUUCGGCUAGAGAGUAGUUGCGGUAGGCGGAAUGUAUGGUGUAGCGGUGAAAUGCUUAGAGAUCAUACAGAACACCGAUUGCGAAGGCAGCUUACCAAGCUACUUCUGACGUUGAGGCACGAAAGCGUGGGGAGCAAACAGGAUUAGAUACCCGGGUAGUC
rnacentral:rRNA from 1 species